GAUGAACGCUGGCGGCGUGCUUAACACAUGCAAGUCGAACGGAGCGUCUUUGAUAGAGGAUUCGUCCAAUUGAUAAGAUUGCUUAGUGGCGGACGGGUGAGUAACGCGUGAGGAACCUGCCUUGGAGUGGGGAAUAACAGUUAGAAAUGACUGCUAAUACCGCAUAAUGCAGUUGGGUCGCAUGGCUCUGACUGCCAAAGAUUUAUCGCUCUAAGAUGGCCUCGCGUCUGAUUAGCUAGUUGGUAGGGUAACGGCCUACCAAGGCGACGAUCAGUAGCCGGACUGAGAGGUUGGCCGGCCACAUUGGGACUGAGACACGGCCCCAGGACUCCUACGGGAGGCAGCAGUGGGGAGUAUUGCGCAAUGGGGAACCCUGACGCAGCAACGCCGCGUGAUGGAAGACGGUCUUCGGAUUGUAACAUCUGUUGCAAGGGAAGAAAAAAUGACGGUACCUUGUGAGGAAGCC
rnacentral:rRNA from 1 species